rnacentral:lncRNA from 1 species
CUCGAAUUCUGAUAAAGCUAAUGUCCAAAGGCCUACCCUUUGGUGUAAAAUAGGGCGAGAGAACAUAUACUUAACUAAAUUUACUUUAGAAAUUAAAUAAACGGUUACGGGCCAUAAAUAAGCCUUUAAUUUUGUACAUGUGAAAUACAAUGCAAGACAUAAUUUUUCGAUAGCAGAGUAAUUACAUUCACAUUUUGUUAACCGCCUACUUAAGUAGUAAAUUGCCCUUUCUUUACCAAAUUGGUCUUCCUGCGCGACCAUUCCAACUAUUGAUUCUUUUUCAGUCGAUACGUACACUUUCAUUAGCCGUCCUUGGAUUGAUGACACCAACACUGGUGGACUUGAUAAAUAUGUCUUCGGGCUUUCAAAAGCCUUUUGAUGUUCUUCUUUCCAGACGAAUUCGUCUUGAUUUUUCAGCUUUAAGAGCGGCGAAAAGACUUUAGUUCGCCCUGCACAGUUAGAAAUAAAGCGUCUUAAAAAGUUUACUUGACCUAGAAACCUUUGCAAUUCUUUUUUAUUGUUAGGUGGCUUGGCCUCUAAAAUGGUCUUCGCUUUAUUUAUAUCAAGUUCAAUCCCUCUUUUGUGUACCAAGAAACCAAGAAAGUUCCCUCCAUUAACACCAAAUGCAUAUUUCAAGGGAUUCAACUUUAGCUUAUAUUGCUUCAUUCGCUCAAACGAACAUCUUAACUGUUCAAAGUGGUCCUCUUCUUUAAUGGAUUUAACCACUAUAUCAUCUACAUACACUUCAACAAACUUGCCUAUCAUAUCAUGAAAGAUUAAAUUUAUUGCCCUUUGAUAAGUUGCUCCCACAUUUUUUAGGCCAAAAGGCAUGACCACCCAUUCAAAACAUCCUAGAGACUCAGGGCAUCUAAAGGCAGUUUUGUGUAUGUUUUUUUCAGCUAUAUAAAUUUGAUUGUAUCCUGAAUACUCAUCCAUGAAAGAAUACAUGACAUGUCCGGCAGUUGAGUCUACUAAAGAAUCCAACGUGGGCAUUGGAUACUCAUAUUUGGGUGUAGCUAUGUUUAAAUUCCUAAAGUCUAUGCACACCCUUAGUUUACCAUUCUUUUUUAGUACUAGCACGAUAUCGAACAACCAUUCAACAUACCUGGCUGUUCUAAUAAAGCCUGCUUUCAAUAAUCGCUCUAUCUCUUUCUUAAUCUUAGGGAGUACAUUAGGAGCAAAAUGUCUAGGAGGCUGCCUAUGAGGUUUAAAAUUAGGCUUAGUUGGUAACCUAUAUUCCACCAAGUCUCUAUCUAAACCAGGCAUUUAUUCAUAUUCCCAAACAAAACAAUCUUUAUACUCCUUUAGCAAAGCGAUUAAUUUAUCACUAACCUCUUGAUCGAGCAUCUGGCUGAUGAAUGUUGGACGAUCUUCUCUUUCAUUGCCAAUAUUUACUUUGAUCAGAGGGUCUUGUGCUUGAGCGUAUCCAGGUUUGAUGAUCCGCAUCACUUCGUCGUCCAGUUCCCUUGUAAGUACUUCUUCUUCUAAACAGUCCACCUUUUUGACUUCUCGGCCAAUGUUUUGUUCUAACUCGAAUAAUGCCCAUUUGUCUUUUAGCGCUCUUAGGGCUGCCUCUUCUUUCGUUUUGUCCUUACAUUCUUUAUUGAAAGCCAUUAAUCUGGCUUUGAAGGCCUGAAUAUCGGCCAUUUGCUUUUGUAACUUAGAAUCCAUUCAAGACUCCUUGAUUAUUCUUUUGCCAAUUACUGGCUCUUCUAAGACCACUAUAUUUGGUCUCAUUUGGCUGAACAUUUCAGUGAGCGCGUCCACUGAAAAUGGCUCUUCACUCUGUGCGACAAUCUGAGUUUCUUCCCCAUCUUGGACUAGCCUGACAGGUUCAUAGUUUCCUUCGUACAUGAAUCUUUCCACUGAGUUUGCUUCUGCGACAAAAGGCCUAUCAUCGGCCUGCACCACCUCUGCUUCACCCUUGUUGUUUCAAAAGACCAGGCAUUGAUGGAGUGAUGAGGGUAUGCAGCGACUUCCGUGUAUCCAAUCUCUUCCUAGUAACACAUUGUAACUGUAGGACCAUCUAUUACAAAGAAGACUGUGGUCCUAGUAGUUGUCCCAAUAGUUAUGUCCAAUGGCAAAACUCCCUUAGUUAAAGUUGCUCCUCCAUUGAAACUCGUAAGGAUAACUUCUGUUGGAAUCAUAUCACCCUCUGUAUUUGCAAAUUUCCUCUUCAUCCUAGAUGGAAUGGUGAUUAUAACUGCUCCAUUGUCGACAAGCACUUUUGACACAGGGAUGCCGUUAACUAGAGCUUUAACGUACAAUGGCCUCAAGUGUUUAGUCAAUUUCAUGGCUGGCCGUUUAAAAAUAACCUUUUCAGCAGCUUCUAUUUCUACUUCCUACUUGUUUUCUAUCGAAUUAUCCCUCUGUGAUAAGUCGACAUGCAGGGUAUCGCGCUGAGCCUCUAUCUCCUGAAUUUCCUCCUUAUUGUUUUCUAAUGCUUCUUCAUCAGUUACCCAACCUGUGGGAAGGGGCAUUAUUCUUGAAGGUGAUCCAUACUUUUCAGAGCGAGGCACUCUCUUCUUCCUUUUGGGGCGUCUCGUAUAGUACGUAGAAAUCGAAAGAACGCCGAGAUGAUUCUCCCAACAAGUCUACUUCGCGAACUUCCUCUCGAUGUAGUUGCUUCAACAGAGUAUUGUGCGAUACUCCUCUCCUUCUUCUUUCUGUUUCUAGGUCGAUUUCUUCUUCGAUGUCUGUUAUCUCGUCGUCUUCUUCAUCAUUGUAGGCCUCUCUAGAAGUCUGGCAUUCUUCACAUUCUAACACGCAAGCCUCUCCUUCGUUGUCCUCCCUUUCUUCUUCUUCUUUUCCUUUAUGCUUGAAUUCAUUGGCCAGUAAGUAAUUAUUAGCCACGACAGAAGGUAACGUACCGAACUGGAUAGUAAGGGGCUGAUCUGGAUCUUCUCCAUCCCUUCUGUCUCGCUCAAAUUUUGAUCUCCCAGAAGAGGUUUCUGUUAGCUCUUUCAUUGAUUCAUCUGUACCGGUUUCUUCACUAUCUUUGAGAACAUUUUGAUUGGCUACCUUGAGUAGUUUAUGCGCUUUAGGAUGUAGCACUCCCUGUUGCUACCUCAUCAUUCGUCCAUAGUUUCGUGGGAAACGCCUUUGUUGGGUUCUAGUCAUUUCAACGAAGGGUAUUGCCCUCCCUGCAUUAUACUGGAACGAAUGCCAUACAUUUGGUCGGUGGGGUUGCGGCCUGAAUGUUCUCCCAUUAUCUACUGGCUUGAACUGCCUCUCAAAAGGCGGUUCUCUAUAGAAUGAUGUAUCUCACCCUUUACCAAACUGAGUGUUUGGGAAGAAAGUAGGGCGAUGGGGAUGCUGCCAUAUCCCUGAUUUCUCUGUGUUCCCACUCACUUCUCUUUUACAUCUUGCACAGGACGUCUUCGUCCUUUUUUGGCUCCUUCCCCUUGAUUCGUUCAAAGACACUGGGAUGUGGUCCAGGGUUUUCUUCUCCAUCAUCUAUGACCAACUUGAAUUUUGGCAACUUGUUUUUGAAACCAAACGUCACCAUGUUUCACUCCAAGUGGAUGUGGAAAAGGAUUUUCAUUAUUUUUUACCCUUAAUUUGUUCAGGAUUUGG